UGGGGAAUAUUGCACAAUGGGCGCAAGCCUGAUGCAGCCAUGCCGCGUGUGUGAAGAAGGCCUUCGGGUUGUAAAGCACUUUCAGCGAGGAGGAAGGUGGUGAACUUAAUACGUUCAUCAAUUGACGUUACUCGCAGAAGAAGCACCGGCUAACUCCGUGCCAGCAGCCGCGGUAAUACGGAGGGUGCAAGCGUUAAUCGGAAUUACUGGGCGUAAAGCGCACGCAGGCGGUUUGUUAAGUCAGAUGUGAAAUCCCCGGGCUCAACCUGGGAACUGCAUUUGAAACUGGCAAGCUAGAGUCUCGUAGAGGGGGGUAGAAUUCCAGGUGUAGCGGUGAAAUGCGUAGAGAUCUGGAGGAAUACCGGUGGCGAAGGCGGCCCCCUGGACGAAGACUGACGCUCAGGUGCGAAAGCGUGGGGCAGCAAACAGGAUUAGAUACCCUGGUAGUCCACGCUGUAAAACGAUGUCGAUUUUGGAGGUUGUGCCCUUGAGGCGUGGCUUCCGGAGCUAACGCGUUAAAUCGACCGCCUGGGGAGUACGGCCGCAAGGUUAAAACUUAAAUGAAUUGACGGGGUC
rnacentral:rRNA from 1 species